AUGAUCAGAGGAGCUGGGCUCCUUGCGAGCUCAACCUAUUCUCAAACUUUCAAUGGGUGAGACGUCUCGCUGGCUUCAAUGCAGCGACGACUCUGAAUCCGAGUGCCCAGUGGGCCACUUUUGGUAAGCAGAACUGGCGAUGCGGGAUGAACCGCAUGUCGAGUUAAGGUGCCUAAGCGAACGCAAAUCAGAUACCAUGAAAGGUGUUGAUUGCUCACGACAGCAGGACGGUGGCCAUGGAAGUCGGCAUCCGCUAAGGAGUGUGUAACAACUCACCUGCCGAAGCAAUCAGCCCUGAAAAUGGAUGGCGCUAAAGCGUUCCACCGAUACUCGACCGUCGUCGGCAGGCGACGUGCAUGCCACGUCUCAAGCCACGACGAGUAGGGCGGCGCGGUGGUGAGCGUCGAAGGCGUAGCCGUGAGGCUAGCUGGAGCCGCCAUCGGUGCAGAUCUUGGUGGUAGUAGCAAAUACACAAGCAAGAUCCUUGUGGACCGAUGUGGAGAAGGGUUCCGCGCGAACAGUACUUGGACGUGGGUGAGUCGGCCCUAAGCCAACGGGUAAUUCCCGCAUCCCGU
rnacentral:rRNA from 1 species